GAGUUUGAUCCUGGCUCAGGAUGAACGCUGGCGGCGUGCUUAACACAUGCAAGUCGAACGGGAAUGCCGCGCUGAUGCGAUUUCGGUCAAAUCAUGUGGCAUUCGAGUGGCGGACGGGUGAGUAACGCGUGGGUAACCUGCCUUACACAGGGGGAUAACACCUGGAAACAGGUGCUAAUACCGCAUAAGCGCACAGGGCCGCAUGGCCCGGUGUGAAAAACUCCGGUGGUGUAAGAUGGACCCGCGUCUGAUUAGCUUGUUGGCGGGGUAGGGGCCCACCAAGGCGACGAUCAGUAGCCGGCCUGAGAGGGUGGACGGCCACAUUGGGACUGAGACACGGCCCAAACUCCUACGGGAGGCAGCAGUGGGGGAUAUUGGAAAAUGGGGGAAACCCUGAUCCAGCGACGCCGCGUGAGUGAAGAAGUAUUUCGGUAUGUAAAGCUCUGUCAGCAGGGAAGAAAGAAAUGACGGUACCUGACCAAGAAGCCCCGGCUAACUACGUGCCAGCAGCCGCGGUAAUACGUAGGGGGCAAGCGUUAUCCGGAAUUACUGGGUGUAAAGGGAGCGUAGACGGUGAUGCAAGUCUGGAGUGAAAGGCGGGGGCCCAACCCCCGGACUGCUCUGGAAACUGUGUAACUUGAGUGCAGGAGAGGUAAGCGGAAUUCCUAGUGUAGCGGUGAAAUGCGUAGAUAUUAGGAGGAACACCAGUGGCGAAGGCGGCUUACUGGACUGUAACUGACGUUGAGGCUCGAAAGCGUGGGGAGCAAACAGGAUUAGAUACCCUGGUAGUCCACGCCGUAAACGAUGAUUAAUAGGUG
rnacentral:rRNA from 1 species